AUCUGGGCACACUAAUAGAAUAAUGUAAUGGCGAGAAUUAUUAUCGUCAUUCGUGGUAACAAAAUUUGCACGGGUAAUGAAACAAUAUACAUGUAUGAUGUAGUCUCACAGAAGGCACUAACAGUUGGUCAUGACCUAGGCUAGAGGUCAAGUUUGGUAUGCAUAUUGCCAAGUCAGCAAGAGUACUCAAAUGCAACGUAUUCUGUGCAUGCAGUACGACGGUUGUAGUUUGAACCAGUUCUGGAAGCUCCCACACAGGUGGGUGUGUCUUAUCCCUUGCAGAUGAAGGAAGCUAUUGACUUUUAAAUAAGGGUCCUCUGUAGACGCUCGAUGUAAUUGCAUACAUGAACGUUCAGCAGAACACCAAGUUUGAACGUGGCGAGGGUACGAAGACGAGGAGAGUGCUAACUAUUCAUGAGAAUGCUGCUGAACCAGACAGAGUAUCUGCAUCAAAACUACAGUUUACAUUACAUGUGGAGACACCAUCAAGAAAGUCUCAAACUACAACACGUACAAUGAUGCGCUUCUUCUCCAGCUUGGGGAACUAUGCCUUUGAUUUGG